rnacentral:rRNA from 1 species
AGCGGCGGAUGGGUGAGUAACACGUGGGGAACCUGCCCCUAAGUCUGGGAUACCAUUUGGAAACAGGUGCUAAUACCGGAUAAUAAAGCAGAUCGCAUGAUCAGCUUUUGAAAGGCGGCGUAAGCUGUCGCUAAGGGAUGGCCCCGCGGUGCAUUAGCUAGUUGGUAAGGUAACGGCUUACCAAGGCGACGAUGCAUAGCCGAGUUGAGAGACUGAUCGGCCACAUUGGGACUGAGACACGGCCCAAACUCCUACGGGAGGCAGCAGUAGGGAAUCUUCCACAAUGGACGCAAGUCUGAUGGAGCAACGUCGCGUGAGUGAAGAAGGUUUUCGGAUCGUAAAGCUCUGUUGUUGGUGAAGAAGGAUAGAGGUAGUAACUGGCCUUUAUUUGACGGUAAUCAACCAGAAAGUCACGGCUAACUACGUGCCAGCAGCCGCGGUAAUACGUAGGUGGCAAGCGUUGUCCGGAUUUAUUGGGCGUAAAGCGAGCGCAGGCGGAAAAAUAAGUCUAAUGUGAAAGCCCUCGGCUUAACCGAGGAACUGCAUCGGAAACUGUUUUUCUUGAGUGCAGAAGAGGAGAGUGGAACUCCAUGUGUAGCGGUGGAAUGCGUAGAUAUAUGGAAGAACACCAGUGGCGAAGGCGGCUCUCUGGUCUGCAACUGACGCUGAGGCUCGAAAGCAUGGGUAGCGAACAGGAUUAGAUACCCUGGUAGUCCAUGCCGUAAACGAUGAGUGCUAAGUGU